rnacentral:rRNA from 1 species
GGGGGGCUGCAGUGGGGAAUAUUGGACAAUGGGGGCAACCCUGAUCCAGCCAUGCCGCGUGAGUGAUGAAGGCCUUAGGGUUGUAAAGCUCUUUCACCGGUGAAGAUAAUGACGGUAACCGGAGAAGAAGCCCCGGCUAACUUCGUGCCAGCAGCCGCGGUAAUACGAAGGGGGCUAGCGUUGUUCGGAUUUACUGGGCGUAAAGCGCACGUAGGCGGAUAUUUAAGUCAGAGGUGAAAUCCCAGGGCUCAACCCUGGAACUGCCUUUGAUACUGGGUAUCUUGAGUAUGGAAGAGGUGAGUGGAAUUCCGAGUGUAGAGGUGAAAUUCGUAGAUAUUCGGAGGAACACCAGUGGCGAAGGCGGCUCACUGGUCCAUUACUGACGCUGAGGUGCGAAAGCGUGGGGAGCAAACAGGAUUAGAUACCCCUG